GUUUUCUCAAAUCGGUAAUGAUAAUCAAUAUAUAUCAGAAAUGUGUGUAGUCAGUAGCAGACACAGCUUUGUUCAAGGCUAAAACCUGUGGCAGGCAAGAACUAGUUUUAUUAAAGCAGAGCAGGCAGCCAUAUCUUACUGUGUGGGAGCUCAUCCAUGCACAUCUGGGGCUCUUCAAGAAAACUGGAAUUUUUCUUCUCGCCACAGCCUGGAGUGGUCAAGUCUCUUCAACAGCUAACUUCUGGAAGACUGAUAUGUGCCAAAGUGUUUCACAGAUAACCUGAGUGAUAAUGAAAUGCUGGGUCCGAGUGAGUAAUGUAAGCAGUAACAUUGGUGAUUCGUAUUCUGUCAGAAUUAUUGCCCUAGGGAUGGCAUUCACGCCAAGAAACUUCUCAUUCUUCACAUACAACUAGCACAACUGUGGUGACACACAAUGCGGGGGACUGGAUGAGUGUAAAGGAGUGGAUGUGUCGCAGGUGUAAUGCGUUUGUACUACUUCAAGAACAACCUUCUGCAAGACCCAUGGUUGUAUUAGGUAAAUAUAUGAUACUUUCCUCCUGCAAAACCUAGCUGAGUUCCUAACAAAGUUUGUUUUCUUGCUGACCAAGAAGAACUUGCCUGUGCCUAUUUAUGUUUGUAUUCAGUUGUUAUGGGAAGAUGGGAUUAAAGAAGUGGGUUUACAUUUUGCUCUGAGGGCAGAAAAACCCAAAUCUCACAGUGUAUCUGAAAUUUGUAUUGUACCCUAUAACAUGCUGUAUGCAGCACGUGCUGCUGGUAAAACUGUGGUACUGAUUGUAUGGAUGUCGGAAACUUAUUCUCAUUAUAAAAU